GACGAACCGUGCGAACGUUAUUCGGAUUCACUGGGCUUAAAGGGCGCGUAGGCGGCGAUUCAAGUCUGGGGUGAAAGCCUUCGGCUUAACCGGAGAAGUGCCUUGGAUACUGGAUCGCUCGAGGGGGAUAGGGGCAUGCGGAACUUCCGGUGGAGCGGUGAAAUGCGCAGAUAUCAGGAAGAACACCAAUGGCGAAAGCAGCUUUCUGGGACGGUACUGACGCUGAGACGCGAAAGCGUGGGGAGCGAACAGG
rnacentral:rRNA from 1 species